AACGCAUAUUGCACUCUCUGGUAUUCCGGAGAGUAUGCCUGUUUCAGCAUCAGAAAUCUCACUCGACCUAUCCUUCUUUGGAAGAGGUCGGAUCUGGGCAUCUUGCAUGUAAAGCCUUAUGUGCUUGCCUGAAAUUCAAUCGUGGAACGCCUAAAGAAAGCCAAAUCCAAAAAGGUGUCAUAGUUGGAUUAACAAAUCCAUCUUUCACCGAAUUUGUGCUGAUAGGUUUGUCUGUCUGCGUUCUGCUGCUCUUCUGGGAGCAGCAGAAAAAAAAACCUUUUCAAUUUGAUCUGAAAUCAGGUAGGAUUACCCGCUGAACUUAA
rnacentral:misc_RNA from 1 species